CCAGCCACAAGUUCAGUGGUAGGCGAAGGAGAGAAAGCAACAGCAGAGCACGAAAAGCGAGAAACGUUAGGGUUAUCAGAAGAAUUGGAUUUGGAAUCCGAGCGGAUGCAAUUAAGGGACGUAAAGGAGAAGGAAGGAUAUUGGGUUUUGUGGGCAAAGAACCUACGCUUAGGCGUAGUGUUUGGGGAGACAGAGAAAAGAGAAGAAUAGUAGGAAGAGGCUUUCAUGGAGAUGGUUGCAGAGAACUCCAUGGAAGAGGUGAAGUCCAGAGACAAAGACGGAGAGAAUAGAUUGAAGUGGAUUCGCCUAAACGUGCGUGUAUGCGGUGUCGGUUUGGGAAAAUUUGGA
rnacentral:misc_RNA from 1 species